rnacentral:misc_RNA from 1 species
UCACCACAGCUGCUUGCGGAAGCCGCGCACGGGAACUGCCAAACCAGCGCUCGUGGUUCUUUAAGCUGCCGUGCAUCGAGCAGCGUUCGUUCACGAUUCUACAAGUGCUUCCACAGAUACGCAAGACAUGACGGAUUCACCACCAAAGCUGGCCCCGCCGCCAAACGGGAGCGCGCUGCUGCGGGAGAACCUCUUUGAGGAGAAGACGGAUGACGACGAUGGCGAGCUGCUGAAGCGGCGCGAGCCAACGAUGCUGCUGAAGGGAAAGAAGCUCAUUGCCCCUCCCUCGGACGGCACGAAACGCUACACUGUCGUCUUCGACCUCGAUGAAACCGUCGUGUACGCGAGGGACGGCCCCCUCUACGCACGCGCAUACCUGAAAGACCUUUUCCGCUUCAUGAAGGAUGACUUCGAGGUGAUUGUCUGGACCGCCGGCGAGCGCGACUACGCAAAGUGCAUUCUCGAAGAGAUCAAUGAGGACCACAUCAUUCAGCACCUCGUCUACCGUCACGAGAAGUGGUUCCGCGAGGAGGACUACACGAAGGACCUGCGACAGCUCGGCCGCGACCUGAACUACACCCUCAUGAUCGAGAACACACCCGACUGCGUGCGGGCAAAUCCGGAGAACGGCAUCAUCGUGGAGGACUUCGAGGUGCUGCCAGAGACUACCGAGGAAGAAGGUUCGAUGCCGGCGACGCCGGUGCCUACGCCCCCGCCAGCGCAAGCAGGGGAGGCGACCGCGACUGCGGGGGAAGCUAAGGACAGCGCUACGCCGCAAGCCAGCACAGCCGCUGCACCAAGGCCGGCAACGGAGAGCGGAGGCGGCGGCAGCUCGCAAUCGCCACUGCGGCGGCGCCGCACAACCGAUCGCACGCUGUUUCUGUUGCGCGAGCUGUUGCAAUCGCUUGUGAAGAGCAGGGAGACGGUGCCUCGCUUUCUUGCCUCGUGCGAGCUGCUCUCACGGCAGACGGUAACUGGUUCGGAUGGCAAUGGCAUCCCCAUCUACCAUCUUGGCACACGGCGGCGACGCAAGGAUGCGGGGAUGCAGCGGAAACAAGUGCGAGUAAACCGGGACAGGGCGCCGCCAGCCGCUUCCCUGAGUGAGGUCCCUUUGCCUCCCUCGGACGCAUCCGCGGAGAGCUCAAUGAACGAGAAGAACGUGUCUGGCGAGGACCGCGACGACUGCAACGACGUAGCGCACUCGAGCGGCUCGUCAGGGGACAUACCACUGCUCCCCCCCGCAGGGGCACCGCGACAGGGCGCGGACGACCAAGUAGAGUGCGCACGUGCUGGAGGCGCUGGCAAGGAGGACAAAGGAAAACCGCAUCCCUGAUGCACCGUCGCACUCAAACACGCAUUGUACGGUGCCAAUGUUGCAUGUCACGGCGUAGUAAUCUGCUUUUGUUUGGUUUGUCUCCGUCACACGCCACUUUCCGUGGUGCGCUUACGCAGCUUCUGCCGCGCGCUCGGUUGCGCGUCACACGCGACAACUUCCAAAGGAACGAUGAGAAAAAGAACCAUAGACAGGUAUAUCUGUAUGUCAACAUGCGCCGAGACAAUGAAGGUGUCGAGGCUGGCCCGGUCACGCUGCUCGGUAGGCCCACCGUCUUUGGCGUCACUAUCGUGCACGCAUGUAACCUUCUAGCUCCUGGCUCUGUCCGUCACUCCUCCUCGUCUUACUCCUCCCCCCCCCCACGUCUGCGGCCUUCCCAG